rnacentral:rRNA from 1 species
UGAGGUGCGAAAGCGUGGGGAGCAAACGGGAUUAGAUACCCCGGUAGUCCACGCCGUAAACGAUGUCUACUAGCUGUAGGGGUACUUGAGACCUUUGUAGCGCAGCUAACGCAAUAAGUAGACCGCCUGGGGAGUACGGCCGCAAGGUUAAAACUCAAAUGAAUUGACGGGGGCCCGCACAAGCAGUGGAGCAUGUGGUUUAAUUCGAUGCAACGCGAAGAACCUUACCAGGCCUUGACAUCCCCGGAACUUUCUAGAGAUAGAUUGGUGCCUUCGGGAACCGGGUGACAGGUGCUGCAUGGCUGUCGUCAGCUCGUGUCGUGAGAUGUUGGGUUAAGUCCCGUAACGAGCGCAACCCUUGUCCUUAGUUGCCAGCACGUAAUGGUGGGAACUCUAAGGAGACUGCCGGUGACAAACCGGAGGAAGGUGGGGACGACGUCCAGUCAUCAUGGCCCUUACGGCCUGGGCUACACACGUGCUACAAUGGCUAGGACAGACGGCUGCAAACCAGCGAUGGGGAGCUAAUCCGACAAACCUAGUCGUAGUCCGGAUUGGAGUCUGCAACUCGACUCCAUGAAGUCGGAAUUGCUAGUAAUCGCGAAUCAGAAUGUCGCGGUGAAUACGUUCCCGGGCCUUGUACACACCGCCC